GUAGGGGGCGAGCGUUGUCCGGAUUUAUUGGGGCGCAAAGAGCUCGUAGGCGGUUGCGUAAGUCGGGAUGCGAAAACUCAGGGGCUCAACCCUGAGAUGCCAUUCGAUACUGCGCUGACUCGAGUCCGGUAGGGGAGCAUGGAAUUCCUGGUGUAGCGGUGAAAUGCGCAGAUAUCAGGAGGAACACCAGUGGCGAAGGCGGUGCUCUGGGCCGGUACUGACGCUGAGGAGCGAAAGCAUGGGUAGCAAACAGGAUUAGAUACCCUGGUAGUCCAUGCCGUAAACGUUGGGCACUAGGUGUGGGGCCUACUUAACGGGUUCCGUGCCGUAGCUAACGCAUUAAGUGCCCCGCCUGGGGAGUACGGCCGCAAAGGCUA
rnacentral:rRNA from 1 species